CUCAAACCCCCCUGGGGCCCCCCCGAAGCCCCUCUGGGACUCUCCAAAACCCCCCAGCCCCUUCCCCCGCUCCCCCCCGAGCCCUCUCGGACCCCUCCCGGGACCCCCCAACUCCGCCUAAGACCCCCCCGGGGCUGGGUACAGCCGCAGCAGCUCGCUCCGCGCCGCCAUCUUGCCUCCGUGCCGUCACUUCCGGCUGGCAGGCGACGCUCUGGGCUCUCCUCUCGCUGGUCAAAGCCGCUCUAGGCCUCCGAGGUCCUCCAGGCGCCACUGCGAGCGGCUCCGGGCCAAAGCAAUGACUGUGCUCAGCUGCAGGGAUGGAUUUGCCUGCACUCAAGCUGCUGCUGCCAGAGCCCCUCCGUGUCAAUCUGUGCUGCCGUUGGGUUCUGCAGCUCUCUCCAGCAAGCAUGGCAUGAGCUGAAGGAGCAGCAGGAGCAGCAUGGCCGUUCCCCAGGCAGCAGGAGGGUUCAGCCCAGCACCAGCUCAUGCGGGAGGAGCAGAUGCUGAGGAACAUCCCCCACGAGACGCAGGUGGCCAAAGAGGCUGGGUCAGGAGAGUCCCAUUUCAUUCUUGAUGCUUUCUUUAAGAGAGGCAUACAACUGAGCUCCCUCAGAGAAGCAGCAUGAAGUGCAUGAAGGAUGCUGGCUGCACUCAGUACAGACAAGGCACAUUGGAUUGACUACUUCUUCUCUGGCCUUUGGAGUGAAGGAAGGGAAAAACCAGAGUUGAAGAUGUCAGCUCUGUAAGUUUUCUCUGGGUGAUCAAAGCAUGCACAACAUCCUGUGCUUGUGCUCUGGAAGAUUCUAGGAGCUUCACGGGGACUCAGGGAGCACAAGUUCUGGAUUUCUGUGGGCUGUCUCUAGAUGAACACCUGAGUGCAGUGAAUCUAAAAGCAGCUGUCUCUCAUUUGAAGUUAAAGUGAUGUGACUGAUCUGGUGCUUUAUAGGUGCCAAAAAGGAGACCUUCUUCACCUGCUUCUCCUGUGCAAGCUCUUCUGUCUGUCUGCUGAGAUGUUUCUGCCUGUUUCUCUGGCAGAGAAGUGUUUGCUUUUUGGGCUGGCGAGCUGACCAUCCGUACUACCGUCGCCUUGAAUGCCUCCAACCAGCAGUGUUUGCUGCCAGACAGACACCUGGAGAAGACAGAGGACAUGGUUAAGUUCAUGAAGGAUAUCUUGGAUGGUGCUGCUGAAGCACAGGCUGGUGAUGGACUUCUGCAACGAAGCAAGAGAGUCCUCUAUGAGGCCAAGGCUGCUGUAAUGGUAGAGUUCAUUGCUUAUUCAGUGAGGUGAUGCUCUUGUCAGUCAAGAAGGACUUAGUUGCAGAGGCUUUAGAAAUGCUUUGAUGUAAGCUUGUUGCUAUGCUGUGCCUAGUGUAUCUAUUGUCACUAUUUAGAACUAGGCUUAAACCAAAUGAACUUCUGGAUUAAAACAGCCAAUCAUGUCUGCCACA